AAGCAGAGAGCGUCAGGUCAAUAGUGCUAACAGCAGCAGUCAGAGGGAGGUUUGUCUGAGAGCGGCAGCGCAGAGACAGAUGUGGCUGCUACUAUAGAUCCAUGCUGCAUUAUCUGCCCGGCCUCAGGCCAAACGACAGCCACUCAGGACACAAAGGGAAGUACAGCUUUUUGAAUCUCCCGCCAGCUGAGCACAUCCAGGUCAUCUGAUACACACACCUGAGGUGACUCACACACGCCCAGAAACAAAAGUCUGACCUGCUGACAAUGAGCAGCGCCACGCAUCACACAAAGCCAAGGAGAUACCAGAGGAGUGUGUCGGUUUGAGCUGUUGUGAUCUCCUCUUGUCUUCAAAACAAUGACGGACAAGAAGAAGGAUUUUUUUUUUAAAACAAUCCACCACGCCUGGAAGAAAAGUGAAGCCAGCUCUAAGAGGUCCCGACAGGAACGUAUGGUAACAUGGCUGACCCCUGGCGCUGUAACACUUGUAGAGCAGCGCACUGGCCUGCAGGUCCUAUUGUUCUGCCGCCAUCAGCCCCAGCGGGGACCGGGCUAUGAGGGUCAAAGGUUGAUUUGGGCUUUUGAAAAAGGGGACCUUGUUUUCCAGAUGACCAGAAAUAAAAAUUCCCCCCGUCCUUCUUAUUUCCUGCCCCGGCCAAUGUGACAGGGCUUUGCUGCGAGAAACAUGUUUUUUUUUAUACAGUGUGAAUGAAAAGAAAAAGAUUUAUAAUCACUAAAAUGGAAAAUAGGAAAAAGGGAAAUGAAUAAAAAAAAUAGCAGAGGACAACAUAACAAAAAAAAAAAAAAAAAGUUAUGCAAAUGUUUGUAUUAUUGGUGGAUUCAAAGGGACACUCCAAGAAAGAAUUCCUGAUGACUAACUAUUGGUCAUUUGAUUGAUUUUUCUUAAACAUAGUAACAUCACAUAAGAAAAUAUGAUCAAAAACUUGAGUUCUAAUUUUUCUCAAUAGAUCAGUAACAUCAUAUUGUGACAGUUUUGUGCUUUUGAUGUACUUGAUGAUGAACUUGGAUUGAUGAACUUGGUUUCUAUGUCUGAAAUGAUGAAGGUUACUGUUAUUUUGAGGGUUAUGGAAAACUGACUGUACCAUAAAAUACUGAAAACUGACAACUGCUCUUUGGACGAUUUCACAGUGUUUUCCUACAUAGGAUUCAGUAUGUUUACCUAUUUACCAUAAAUGAUGUAUGUUCAUGCUAAUUUAAAAACAACAACCCAACAAUAAACAAGCCCUCUGUCUGAAAUCACAUACUAUACACUACAUACCAAAUAUAUGUUC